UCCCAAAGAAACUCCCAUGUUAACCAUGAAGAAUGAUUGGUUCAGAUCUUCUAUAAAUAACAAAAACCUCCAGGCAAUAUUUGUAGUUGCUACAAACAUUCUAAGAUUUGAUUUAAACAAUGGACAAUAUUAUUAGCUUCAAGAAUAAAACUUAUUAUGAGGAUGACUUAAAAAUACCAUUUUUUAAUGUAACUUUUUGUUCUGAUAAAAUAUUAGAUGACAGUUUAAAAAUGUUAAACUCUACAUCUGAUCCAUUAGUUAUUGAAUGUGGCAAGAUUAUGCCUUGUGAUGGCAGAAAUUUAACAAACCAAAGUGUCUGUUACAUUUUAGUUUGGUCAUCAGAUAUUGACAAAGGUUGGAUCAGCAGAGGUUUAGGACUUUAUUAUGGGUCUGGAUUUGUAACUACAGCCAAACAUGUUCUAGAAAAUGACAAAUGUCAUGAAAAUGAUAACAUAUAUGUGCUUUUCCCAACUUUUGAAAUUUGUUUAAUUUAUAAAGCCCGAAAAAUCUUCCAUAAAAACCCUCACUUACCGUUGAAUUACGAUAUUUCUUUUAUUGAAUUACAAGGAUGUUUAGAUCCAUUACAAAACAUAAAAGUAGAAAUAGGUGAGUUGCAUGAAAAUGACACGCUAUAUUUUAAAAUAUUUGAGACAGGGUGUUUCGUAAGUAAGUAUUGUAAAUUAAAAAAACCCAAUACUAAUAUGACAAGUCAAAUGUCAUCUAAAGAAUACGAAUUUGUUAUUUGUAAAGCAGGCAGAAAAGGAGACAGUGGAACUCCUAUUUAUUCCAGCUCUGGCACAUGUGUUGGAUUAUAUAUUGGUCAAUUCAAAGCAAAAAACUCAUCAAACCAUGAGGAAUAUGGCAGAGGUUUACAAUUUGACAGAAUUUUAUUAAACACAUCUAAUGACUUUCUGUUCCUUUCUAAUCUCUGCAACCUUUAUCAUUAAUCAAGAACAAAUUCCACAAAUUUUUUUUCCCCUAAAUAAAUUGGAAAUGAUGAGUAAAAUCUGUUUUGGUGGACAGGGUUAUUAUCAUUAUAUUACGGAUUGAGAAACACUUUUUAAACGUCUACUAAAAUUUGUCAGCAAGGAACGUAAUUGGCAUAGAUACAGUUCUCAUAGCAAUAGUAUUGUCCAUUGUUUGGCAACUAACCGAAGAGAGAUCUCAUGCCUUGCCCACAACAAAACCUUGUGAUAUAUGUUGGUCUGGAGCAUGUGGAAUCUACAUAAAGGUGGUGCAGGGAUAAUCUUGAAAGCUUUGAAUGACCUUCAGACUGCAUAUAUCACUUCUGGGUGAAAUUAUGAUCAGACGAUCUCUCUUCGUCAAAUUACAUCCCCUACCAAUACAAUGCAAGCUGCCAGGAGAGGGACUGUGUCUUGCCCAACACAAUGGAAAAUGACACUCCCUGCACCUCACUCCAACUCUCAGUGUCAUGUUGAAAAAUACAACCAUCUACAACCAUCACUUUUGGGUCAAGCCACAACCUUAUAAUCUCUCCUUGAAUCAUUUUUUUUCAUUGAAUGAAUAAAUGUUAAGCAUUGCAA